rnacentral:rRNA from 1 species
ACCAGACUCCUACGGGAGGCAGCAGUGGGGAAUAUUGGGCAAUGGGCGCAAGCCUGACCCAGCAACGCCGCGUGAAGGAAGAAGGCUUUCGGGUUGUAAACUUCUUUUAAGAGGGAAGAGUAGAAGACGGUACCUCUUGAAUAAGCCACGGCUAACUACGUGCCAGCAGCCGCGGUAAUACGUAGGUGGCAAGCGUUGUCCGGAUUUACUGGGUGUAAAGGGCGUGUAGCCGGGCCGGCAAGUCAGAUGUGAAAUCACAAGGUUCAACCUUGGAACUGCAUUUGAAACUGUUGGUCUUGAGUAUCGGAGAGGCAGGCGGAAUUCCUAGUGUAGCGGUGAAAUGCGUAGAUAUUAGGAGGAACACCAGUGGCGAAGGCGGCCUGCUGGACGACAACUGACGGUGAGGCGCGAAAGCGUGGGGAGCAAACAGGAUUAGAUACCCCAGUAA